GAAAUAUUUAAAAGACUGUACACAAGCAUGAGACUUAUAGGACAAAAAUAAAAUUAUCAUAGGAGGUCAUCAUCCCUCUGUAACUGGCACUGGUGAGGCCACACCUCAAGUACUGUGCUCAGUUUUGGGCCCCUCACUACAAGGAAGACAUUGAGGCCCUGGAGAGUGUUCAGAGAAGGGCAGCAAAGCUGUGAGAGGUCUGGAGCACAAGUCUUAUGGGGAGUGGCUGAGGGAAUUGGGAUUGUUCAGUCUGGAGAAGAGGAGGCUCAGGGGAGACCUUAUCGAUAAGUUGAUGAUUGUAUUAGAUGACCUUAGAGGUCUUUUCCAGUCUUAAUGAUUCUGUGAUUCUAUAGACAUGGGUGUCUCUCUAUAUGAAAAGACACUGCAGAGGCUGAACUCUAAAGUUCCUGCUAGGAUGCGGAACAGCCUGUCUUGCAGAGCAGUGAGGACAGAAGGAUCUUUCCUCCAAUGAAGGACUUUACUGAAAGGAGUGGGCCAGAAAACAAAGCCAAAACAACAGAAGGGUUCAGCCCAAAUCAUGCACAAACAAGAUGGAACACCAUUAGCACAGAAAUUGCUCACCACAAUAUCACAUAUCCAUCCUACAGGCCGAAGCAACCAAAGGAGAACAAUGCAGCUGUGUCUAUACUGCACACUGAACAUACUUUGCAGGUCUGCUGCAGGUGGUCUUCACACAGAAGCUCAAAAGAGGCCACUUGUGCCAAAACUUGGAGCUGGGAGGGAUGUGAUGGAGCAUUCACAAGGAACAAUAAAGCUUUCAUGCUACAGAGAAAGUGAAGAACCAAGCUGAGCAACUUGUAAAGGUGUUAAAAAGUAGAACAUAAAAAUAUGUAAAUAGUUUAAAAGGCACAUAAGAACAGGAAGAAGAGGCUUUGAUUUUGGUACAAGGACUGAAGUUGGAGAUAACAUUCAGAAAAGACAUUGCUAAAUUGGUUUUGUUCUACUGAAGUGUUUGUGAAAUAAAAGAAUCCAGUCCAG
rnacentral:lncRNA from 1 species